ensembl:lncRNA
CCUGAAUCUGCCUUCACAUCACAGUCAGGUUUUUGUAACUGGAAAAAGGCGUUGUUUAAAGAUUCUGGGUUUAAGCUCCAUUCGAAGGCAGAGCAUUAUGCUAUGUAUGCUUGGAAUCAGCAUAAAAGGGCUAUUGACAGAAACUCAUCAAUGUUAGAUGUCAUAAAUGAGGACCAGAAAAAGAAAGUGGAGGUAAACUGUACUUACAUUAAAACAAUUGCAGAUGUGCUCCUAUUAACUGCCACUCAAAAUAUAGCAUAGAGAGGUCAUCGAGAGUCUGAUGACUCUUUGAUGACUCACAACCAGGGUCAUUUUUUGACAAUCUUCCUCUCAUAGAGAAAAGGAUAAAUGCAUGGGGCCUUCUUUCUCAGAUUUACAUGUCAUAGGGCUUUUGGUUACCUUUUGUAAAGUGCUUGGUGAUGCCAAAUGUCUUUCUGACAUGCUCCAAUCAAGCUCUCUUAACCUAGCAAGGUCUGUGGAUCUAGUAGGUGCCCUUACAGACACAUUACAGGAAGGGCUGUGGAUCUAGUAGGUGUCCUUACAGACACAUUACAGGAAGGGCUGUGGAUCUAGUAGGUGUCCUUACAGACACAUUACAGGAAGGGCUGUGGAUCUAGUAGGUGCCCUUACAGACACAUUACAGGAAGGGCUGUGGAUCUAGUAGGUGCCCUUACAGACACAUUACAGGAAGGGCUGUGGAUCUAGUAGGUGCCCUUACAGACACAUUACAGGAAGGGC